rnacentral:rRNA from 1 species
CCCUUAGAUGUCCUGGGCUGCACGCGCGCUACACUGAUGUGUCCAGUAAGCACCUAACCUAUUCCGAGAGGAGCGGGUAACCUUAGCAAAGCACAUCGUGAUGGGGAUAGAUUAUUGCAAUUAUUAGUCUUGAACGAGGAAUUCCUAGUAAGCACAAGUCAUCAGCUUGUGUUGAUUACGUCCCUGCCCUUUGUACACACCGCCCGUCGCUCCUACCGAUUGAAUGUUCCGGUGAGCUCUUCGGACUGCGCGGUCUGCAGUUUCUGCGUUCCGUGCGGAAAGUUGUGCAAACCUUAGCAUUUAGAGGAAGGAGAAGUCGUAACA